UCUACGGGAGGCAGCAGCAGGGAAUAUUGCACAAUGGGCGAAAGCCUGAUGCAGCAACGCCGCGUGAGGGAUGAAGGUCUUCGGAUUGUAAACCUCUUUUCCAGGGGACGAGAAGGGACGGUACCCUGGGAAUAAGCAACGGCUAACUACGUGCCAGCAGCCGCGGUAAUACGUAGGUUGCGAGUGUUAUUCGGAUUUACUGGGCGUAAAGCGCACCGAGGUGGCUUCUUAAGUUGGAUGUAAAAUCUCCCGGCUUAACUGGGAGGCGCCAUUCAAUACUGAGGAGCUUGAGGCCAGCAGGGGAAAGCGGAAUUCCCGGUGUAGUGGUGGAAUGCGUAGAGAUCGGGAGGAACACCAGUGGCGAAAGCGGCUUUCUGGGCUGCGCCUGACACUCUAGUGCGAAAGCGUGGGGGGCAAGCAGGAUUAGAUACCCUGGUAGUCCACGCCCUAAACGAUGGAUACUAGGUGUGGGAGGUAUUGACCCCUUCCGUGCCGAAGCUAACGCGUUAAGUAUCCCGCCUGGGGACUACGGCCGCAAGGUUAAAACUCAAAGGAAUUGACGGA
rnacentral:rRNA from 1 species